rnacentral:rRNA from 1 species
AGUGGGGAAUAUUGCACAAUGAGGGAAACCUUGAUGCAGCCAUGCCGCGUGUGUGAAGAAGGCCCGAGGGUUGUAAAGCACUUUCAAUUGUGAGGAAGAUUAAGUAGCUAAUAUCUGCUUAAUUUGACGUUAACUUUAGAAGAAGCACCGGCUAACUCUGUGCCAGCAGCCGCGGUAAUACAGAGGGUGCAAGCGUUAUUCGGAAUUACUGGGCGUAAAGCGCGCGUAGGCGGACUGUUAAGUCGGUUGUGAAAGCCCUGGGCUCAACCUAGGAACUGCAUCCGAUACUGGCAAUCUAGAGUUUAAGAGAGGGAAGUGGAAUUCCAGGUGUAGCAGUGAAAUGCGUAGAUAUCUGGAGGAACAUCAGUGGCGAAGGCGACUUCCUGGCUUAAAACUGACGCUGAGGUGCGAAAGCUUGGGUAGCGAACGGGAUUAGAUACCCCGGUAGUCCAAGCCGUAAACGAUGUCAACUAGCUGUUGGUCUUAUUAAAAAGAUUAGUAGCGUAGCUAACGCGAUAAGUUGACCGCCUGGGGAGUACGGUCGCAAGAUUAAAACUCAAAGGAAUUGACGGGGGCCCGCACAAGCGGUGGAGCAUGUGGUUUAAUUCGAUGCAACGCGAAGAACCUUACCAUCCCUUGACAUCCUGCGAACUUUCUAGAGAUAGAUUGGUGCCUUCGGGAACGCAGUGACAGGUGCUGCAUGGCUGUCGUCAGCUCGUGUCGUGAGAUGUUGGGUUAAGUCCCGCAACGAGCGCAACCCUUAUCAUUAGUUGCUAACAUUUAGUUGAGAACUCUAAUGAGACUGCCGGUGAUAAACCGGAGGAAGGCGGGGACGACGUCAAGUCAUCAUGGCCCUUAUGGGAUGGGCUACACACGUGCUACAAUGGGGGGUACAAAGAGCAGCCAACUGGCGACAGUGCGCGAAUCUCAUAAAACCUCUCGUAGUCCGGAUCGGAGUCUGCAACUCGACUCCGUGAAGUCGGAAUCGCUAGUAAUCGUGAAUCAGAAUGUCACGGUGAAUACGU